rnacentral:rRNA from 1 species
UGGGGAAUAUUGCACAAUGGGGGAAACCCUGAUGCAGCGACGCCGCGUGAGCGAUGAAGGCUUUCGAGUCGUAAAGCUCUGUCCUAUGGGAAGAUAAUGACGGUACCAUAGAAGAAAGCCCCGGCUAAUUACGUGCCAGCAGCCGCGGUAAUACGUAAGGGGCGAGCGUUGUCCGGAAUUAUUGGGCGUAAAGAGUGCGUAGGCGGCAAAUUAAGUCAGAUGCGAAAACUAAGGGCUCAACCCAUAGAUUGCAUCUGAAACUGAUAUGCUUGAGUCAAGGAGAGGAAAGUGGAAUUCCUAGUGUAGCGAUGGAAUGCGUAGAUAUUAGGAGGAAUACCGGUGGCGAAGGCGACUUUCUGGACUUGAACUGACGCUGAGGCACGAAAGCGUGGGGAGCAAACAGG